GGCAACAGCCCCCGUGUCUCCUGACUACAUCCAUGAAUGAAAUGAUUAGUUCAGGAGACACAUAAGGCGGCGGCGGCGACUCUACUCAUUUCACCCUAGAGUCAAGCGAGAGAGUACAUAACGGCAUCAGAAUGCACCGCACAUGAUUGUGCACUGCGCUAGUAGUAGUAGCUAAGCGCAAAAUCGGUAAUAAUAAAUAUUAAAAAAAAAAGUUCUAAGUUCAAAGCAGAAAUGCUCCGGCCCGGAGAGCGGAACGAGUUACGACCUAACUCGGACUGACCGACCGGUUGACAGGAGUCGAGGAAAACUUGUUUCGAUGCAACUCUCGCCAAUAUCAAGAGUGCCACCAAGAACAGCGGCGAAAAGAAAAAGUUGCUUACAUGUGCAAUUUUCCGUUGCACAGCAUUCAGUGCCAGCAGCAGUGGCAAAAGCGAAUAAACGAGCGGCGAUAACAAGUUGUGAGACUAGAAACACACAAACACACAUCUAAAACGGUUCAAUUUCAUAAUUCUGCUUCUGGGGUGGUGCAGCAAAAGUGCAAGCCGGAGUCGAGCUGAGCGCGAGGGCGACGGGAAGUGCAACCAGUUUGUGUCUCCGGUUGGUGUUACUGUCGAGGCUGCUGCUGCUGUAAUCAAACGAUGACACAUUUAAUGAUGGAAGCAGUUCGCAGUUUCCCUUCCGGAAGAGCAUUUGACAGGAGACUCAGCAUUGAUGGUGGGAUGCAGCAGAAACAUUUCAACGGUGCAACGCAAGGGGGUUGUCAUUAUCUUCCGUAUCAUUUCCUCACAACAGCCAGCGUCGUUCCUGCUGGUGCAGUCCGAUCGAAUGGUGGCAAUGCAAUUUUGUGUGGUGAACCGGUACACAGUGUACUAUUUUGGGAAAAAAUACGGACGCAAUUCUGACGUGAUCGAACCAAAAAAAAAAAAAAAAUAUCUUAAGCAAAAAAUUACAAGUAAUCGAUUCCUGCCCUGAUUUCCCCUAUUUUUUGUGAAACAAACAUAAAUUUUGGAUACAAUUAUCGGAAAAAUAAAAAGUUAAAACAAUAUCUGGCUUUGGCAAAAGAGA